GUUUUACCCUAGUUGGAUCCAUCGUGUGCUUGCUCUAUGGCAGUCAGUGUAGUUUGAAUUGAUGGGUAGAGGGUGAAUUGUCAGGGAUACAUAGAGAAAGUAUCCAGAUUGGAAAUCUAAUGGGUCUAAUGAAUGGAUCUUGCGAGUUUUGCAUAAAAUGAGAAAUUGACUUUGAAUAGCUGGUAGUUAAUUUUAGUGAAUGUUUAGUUUGCAAGUAGGCCGAAUCCCUAAACCGUGAAUUAAAAUCCAGAUGACGAAAUCCAGGGUAAUAAAUAGCCGAGCAGCGGCC